AGUGAACGCUGGCGGUAGGCCUAACACAUGCAAGUCGAACGGCAGCACAGUAAGAGCUUGCUCUUACGGGUGGCGAGUGGCGGACGGGUGAGGAAUACAUCGGAAUCUACUUUUUCGUGGGGGAUAACGUAGGGAAACUUACGCUAAUACCGCAUAUGACCUACGGGUGAAAGCAGGGGAUCUUCGGACCUUGCGCGUUUGAAUGAGCCGAUGUCGGAUUAGCUAGUUGGCGGGGUAAAGGCCCACCAAGGCGACGAUCCGUAGCUGGUCUGAGAGGAUGAUCAGCCACACUGGAACUGAGACACGGUCCAGACUCCUACGGGAGGCAGCAGUGGGGAAUCUUGGGCAAUGGGCGCAAGCCUGAUCCAGCCAUACCGCGUGGGUGAAGAAGGCCUUCGGGUUGUAAAGCCCUUUUGUUGGGAAAGAAAAGCAGCAGGUUAAUACCCCGCUGUUCUGACGGUACCCAAAGAAUAAGCACCGGCUAACUUCGUG
rnacentral:rRNA from 1 species